GCAACCUGGUUGAUCCUGCCAGUAGUCAUAUGCUUGUCUUAAAGAUUAACCCAUGCAUGUGCCAGUUCAGUAUUGAACAGCGAAACUGCGAAUGGCUCAUUAAAACAGUUAUAGUUUAUUUGAUAAUUCAAAAUUAUAUGGAUAACCGAGCUAAUUGUUGGGCUAAUACAUGCGAAAAAAUCCGUGUCCCGCGA
rnacentral:rRNA from 1 species